rnacentral:snRNA from 1 species
AUCACUUCUUGGCCUUUUGGCUAAGAUCAAGUGUAGUAUUUGUUCUUAUUAGUUUAAUAAAAACUUAGUUCAAAUAGAGCAGGAAAAAACAGCUCCUUCACCAAUGUGUAUGAUCCCAC